GCAAAGUGGAUUUUCAGAAGAAGUAAAAAGUAGCCUCAAGCUAUUCUGGGUACAUGGGUGCAGCCUUACUUACGUUCUGAUCUGAGAAAAAUGUUACAUAUAAAACCCCUCUGCCUCACCUUCUGUUCUUACCCAUGGAUUUACAUGGAAUCCAGCCCUUUUCAUUAAACUUAUAAACAACCAAGUGGAAUCAUAAAAAUGUAAUUUAAUGUAGAUUUUAUUGACACCUUCCUGCAGAGAAGAGAUGAUUAGAGAUGUCACCCAAGCAUGAGUAGGUGGGAGGAAGAGCCAGGGCACAGAUCAUCUAAAAGCUAUGUCAUAAAUCUCCAAUCACAAAACAGAAAGCGGAGAGGAAGGGAAGGGGGGAGAGCACCCCACAGAACAGGAUCAAUCUAACUACAUUUCUAGUUCGAUUUUUUUUAUAAAAUAUAGAACACUUACAAAAUCUGUUAAUGUUUUCUCUUUUCCUAGAGAAGAAUAUGAUCCUUCAGAUUGUGCUGUCCCCAUAUCAACAGCCCUCAUUAAGCAAAUAACCACCAAGAUACAACCUGGAAGCACAGUUAACGAGAUGCUUGAUGAGUUCUAUGGGUCAGAAAAGUCCCACGAGCCCACUUGGCCUUACAGUCAGAAAGAUUCUGACAGGAAUGAGCAGCUGAGUCAGUGGGAUAGCCCAAUGCGCGUCAGACUGUCAAUGUGGAAACCGUAUGUUAGGACACUGCUGAUAGAACUGCUACCUUGGGCCCUGCUCAUCAAUCAAUCCAAGUGGGACCUCUGGCUGUUUGAAGGAGAAAAGAUUGUUCUACAGGUUCCUGCUGGCAAAAUUAUUAUUCCUCCUAAUUUUCAGGAAGCUUUUCAAAUUGGAAUUUACUGGGCAAAUACAAACACUGUGCACAAGUCACUGGCAAUUAAACUGGUCCAUAAUCUGACGUCUCCAAAGUGGAAAGAUGGCGGUAAUGGUGAGGUAGUGACCCUGGAUGAAGAAGCAUUUGUUGAUGCUGAAAUCAGACUUGGUGCUUUCCCAGGACAUCAGAAGGUAAGGUCCAUGUGGACGUGGUUCAGGGGAGAUCGUGUGCUGUGCUCUUAGAGUGUUUCAAGUAUGUCUCCCUCCCCUUUCAAGUUCCUUUCUGGUGUUACUUAUUCUAAAUACUUUAACAAUGAGAUACUUGUUUUCUUAACUUGCUAGACUUGUAUUUGACAGGGGAAUUUUUUUCCCUUUACUACUGGUAAAACGUGGGCUACAUAAUUUAUCCAGGAAUGGUUCCAUUUCAGAGCUGUCACCAGUCACUUGAUUUAUAGUAGGGGGAGUGGACUUAUUCCCAAGACUCACAAACUGUCUUUGGCCUUCUCCUUCAGAACAGGAAGUAGGGUAUCUAACACUGAGCAUUGAGGUCAAAGACAACAGGAAUUGUUAUCUUGGUGGAAAGGGUAUCCUGAUCAAGGUGAUAGGACUAAUCUGAUUCUCUUAUGGAAUCAAUGUUACAAGAAAUAAUCAUAUUCUUCAAUGCACGAUUGAGAGGUUUAGAAAAUGUGUUUUGAUCAUAUUCAUCCCCUUCUGUGCACAACCAAUUUUGUGUCCUUUAAAAAAAAAAAACAUGAUCAAUUUUUGCUGUCAAAAUAGUAUUUGAUAUGUGGUCUUCCACUGGCUCCAGGAUAACUUAUAGUGAGGGGUGCGGGUUCCACUCUUCCCAAACACUGUCUCUCUCCCAGCAGCUAAAACUUGUCACUAGUUCUACCAGUAGGGAUAGGAUUCCACAUCCAACUUCCCUCUCCAUACGGGCCUUUGGUCUGCCUAGUAGUGCAUAGAUGUUUGGUGUGCUGCUGUGGGUUCAUGUGUCAGUGCAGCUGCCGUGCAGUGUCUGUCUGUUUCAUCUACUGCCCCUGGCAACUUAUACUCGAACUACCCCCUCUGAGCCUUGGGAAGUGAUACCAUACAUACCCCUGCAGGGCUAAGCAUUAUGCAGUCUUUCUGGACCUUGAUCAGUCCUGGGCCUCUGUGUUAACCAGCAUCCACUGCAAAUAGAAGCUUCUCAAAUACGGGUUGAAAGAAACGUUAAUCCAAAGAGGGGAGGGAAUACUGGAAGAAUUAGAAGUAGCAGAGGUGGGCCUGCCCCUUGCUUUUAGAGUUGUGGGUACCAAGAAGCAAAUGGCAUGUGCUUCUCAGCAUAAACCUAAAACCAAUACAAGCCAAUUAGCUGAGUAAUACAGAACUGUAUAUCACAGACUCACAUCAGUCUAUGUUACUUUAUCAUCAUUCUGUCAGCCACCCUCAGUGGGAGAACAGAGGGAAUAACUUACCAGCGCAGCAGCAUUCAAAAUGGCCUUUCUCUUUGGGGAGAAGUUAGGUUUUUGUUGAGGACCUUUAAAAGAGUCUAUUGAAAAAAGUUAGGAAUGCUUAUGUCACUUUUUAAAAAAUUAAAUUUUCUUGAAACGAGAAGUUCACCUUUGCCAAUAUUCAGGACUGGUAUUACUUUGCUCAAAGCUGACUGAGCAACACGUGUUGCUGCUGCUGACCAAAGUACUGGAGGUUUAUACACGGGCAGGAGCCAUCCAAACACCCAGGACACCUAGCGUCUCAAAAGUGGUC
rnacentral:lncRNA from 14 species